rnacentral:rRNA from 1 species
GACGAACGCUGGCGGCGUGCUUAACACAUGCAAGUCGAACGGAAAGGCCCUGCUUUUGUGGGGUGCUCGAGUGGCGAACGGGUGAGUAACACGUGAGUAACCUGCCCUUGACUUUGGGAUAACUUCAGGAAACUGGGGCUAAUACCGGAUAGGAGCUCCUGCUGCAUGGUGGGGGUUGGAAAGUUUCGGCGGUUGGGGAUGGACUCGCGGCUUAUCAGCUUGUUGGUGGGGUAGUGGCUUACCAAGGCUUUGACGGGUAGCCGGCCUGAGAGGGUGACCGGCCACACUGGGACUGAGAUACGGCCCAGACUCCUACGGGAGGCAGCAGUGGGGAAUAUUGCACAAUGGGCGGAAGCCUGAUGCAGCAACGCCGCGUGCGGGAUGACGGCCUUCGGGUUGUAAACCGCUUUCGACUGUGACGAAGCGUGAGUGACGGUAAUGGGUAAAGAAGCACCGGCUAACUACGUG